GACGUAGGGCGCGAGCGUUGUCCGGAUUUAUUGGGCGUAAAGAGCUCGUAGGCGGCUUGUCGCGUCGUCCGUGAAAACCUGCGGCUCAACUGCAGGCUGGCGGUCGAUACGGGCAGGCUGGAGUUCGGUAGGGGAGACUGGAAUUCCUGGUGUAGCGGUGAAAUGCGCAGAUAUCAGGAGGAACACCGGUGGCGAAGGCGGGUCUCUGGGCAGUAACUGACGCUGAGGAACGAAAGCGUGGGGAGCGAACAGG
rnacentral:rRNA from 1 species